rnacentral:rRNA from 1 species
UACAGAGGUCUCAAGCGUUGUUCGGAUUCAUUGGGCGUAAAGGGUGCGUAGGCGGUCUUUUAAGUCGGGGGUGAAAUCCUGGAGCUCAACUCCAGAACUGCCUUCGAUACUGGAAGACUUGAGUCCGGGAGAGGUGAGUGGAACUGCGAGUGUAGAGGUGAAAUUCGUAGAUAUUCGCAAGAACACCAGUGGCGAAGGCGGCUCACUGGCCCGGUACUGACGCUGAGGUGCGAAAGCGUGGGGAGCAAACAGG